ensembl:misc_RNA 7SK 7SK RNA
GAAUGUGAGGGUGAUCUGGCUGCCCCAUCUGUCACCCCAUUGAUCACCAGGGUUGAUUUGGUUAAUCUGGCUGGCUAGGUGGGCGCCCCCUCCCUUCCCCACCACUCCAUGUGCGUCCCCCUCCAAGCUGCACCCUCCUCAAAGAGGAUGGUCUUCCCUGAUAAGGAGGACUGUUCUUCUGUCAGGGGUAUACGAGUAACGGUGCUCCCCUGCUAGAACCUCCAGACAAGCUUUCAAGAUCUGUUUGUAGGAGAAUGUAGGGUAGUCGAGCUUCCAGGAUUCCAGACAUGUUCAAAUAAGGUGCUGCAUGUGGCAGUCUGCUUUUCUUU